rnacentral:rRNA from 1 species
CCUACGGGAGGCAGCAGUGGGGAAUUUUGGACAAUGGGGGCAACCCUGAUCCAGCCAUUCCGCGUGAGUGAAGAAGGCCUUCGGGUUGUAAAGCUCUUUCGCAAGGGAAGAAAACUUACCCUCUAAUAUAGGGUGAGGCUGACGGUACCUUGAUAAGAAGCACCGGCUAACUACGUGCCAGCAGCCGCGGUAAUACGUAGGGUGCGAGCGUUAAUCGGAAUUACUGGGCGUAAAGCGUGCGCAGGCGGUUUGAUAAGUCAGAUGUGAAAUCCCCGGGCUCAACCUGGGAACUGCGUUUGAAACUGUCAAGCUAGAGUAUGGGAGAGGGAGGUAGAAUUCCACGUGUAGCAGUGAAAUGCGUAGAGAUGUGGAGGAAUACCAAUGGCGAAGGCAGCCUCCUGGCCUAAUACUGACGCUCAUGCACGAAAGCGUGGGGAGCA